UACGUAGGGUGCGAGCGUUGUCCGGAAUUAUUGGGCGUAAAGGGCUCGUAGGCGGUUUGUCGCGUCGGGAGUGAAAACUCAGGGCUUAACCCUGAGCCUGCUUCCGAUACGGGCAGACUAGAGGUAUGCAGGGGAGAACGGAAUUCCUGGUGUAGCGGUGAAAUGCGCAGAUAUCAGGAGGAACACCGGUGGCGAAGGCGGGUCUCUGGGCAAUUCCUGACGCUGAGGCGCGAAAGCGUGGGGAGCAAACGGG
rnacentral:rRNA from 1 species